rnacentral:rRNA from 1 species
GGCACGCCUUAUACAUGCAAGUCGAACGAAGUAGCAAUACUUAGUGGCAGACGGGUGAGUAACAUGUGGGUAUCUUCCCUUUGGUGAGGAAUAACACGAGGAAACUUGUGCUAAUACCUCAUAAGUCUUUACGGAGAAAGCUUUAUGCGCCAAUGGAUGAGCCCGCACUUGAUUAGUUUGUUGGUGGGGUAAUGGCCUACCAAGACUUUGAUCAAUAGCUGAUUUGAGAGGAUGAUCAGCCACAUUGGGACUGAGACACGGCCCAAACUCCUACGGGAGGCAGCAGUAAGGAAUCUUGCACAAUGGAGGAAACUCUGAUGCAGCGAUGCCGCGUGAGUGAAGAAGGCCUUUGGGUUGUAAAGCUCUUUCGUCGGGGAAGAAAAUGACUGUACCCGAAUAAGAAGGUCCGGCUAACUUCGUGCCAGCAGCCGCGGUAAUACGAAGGGACCUAGCGUAGUUCGGAAUUACUGGGCUUAAAGAGUUCGUAGGUGGUUAAAAAAGUUGGUGGUGAAAUCCCAGAGCUUAACUCUGGAACUGCCAUCAAAACUUUUUAGCUAGAGUAUGAUAGAGGAAAGCAGAAUUUCUAGUGUAGAGGUGAAAUUCGUAGAUAUUAGAAAGAAUACCAAUUGCGAAGGCAGCUUUCUGGAUCAUUACUGACACUGAGGAACGAAAGCAUGGGUAGCGAAGAGGAUUAGAUACCCUCGUAGUCCAUGCUGUAAACGAUGUGUGUUAGACGUUGGAAAUUUAUUUUCAGUGUCGCAGCGAAAGCGAUAAACACACCGCCUGGGGAGUACGACCGCAA